rnacentral:rRNA from 1 species
UACGUAGGGUGCAAGCGUUGUCCGGAAUUAUUGGGCGUAAAGAGCUCGUAGGCGGCUUGUCACGUCGAUUGUGAAAGCCCGAGGCUUAACCUCGGGUCUGCAGUCGAUACGGGCUAGCUAGAGUGUGGUAGGGGAGAUCGAAUUCCUGGUGUAGCGGUGAAAUGCGCAGAUAUCUGGAGGAACACCGGUGGCGAAGGCGGCAUCCUGGACCGACACUGACACUGAGGAGCGAAAGCCAGGGGAGCAAACGGG